GGAAGAUUGCUCGAAUGGUAAGAGGUAAGUUUGCUAAACUUAAGCCCAUUUAAAAAAUGGAGUAGGUUCAAUUCCUAUAUCUUCCU
rnacentral:tRNA from 1 species